rnacentral:lncRNA from 1 species
AAAAGCUGAAGUAUUCUAAUCAAUUUCAAAUUUCUAAUAUUAAAUCCCAAUAUUAUUACAGAGUUUGGAGUACAUUUAAAAUAAGUUGAAAAUUGGAAUAAGCUGUAAAAACAACAGUCUAAAGUAGCAAGUCUUCAAGGACUUCUUCAAAGCCAAUGGUUGAAAUUCACGCCCCAAUUUUAGCCUCCAAAGCUGGUGCCGCCCUCCCUUCACUCAAUGUCCACUCACAUUUUGCAAACCUGCAAAACCAAUUCACAAUUAAAAAAAACAGCUUAUCCAAAUAAGCACUUUAAAAACUAGAAAAUAAAGGAUGGAACAAACAGAUUAACUCUUUACACAACAAACCAAGAAGAACGUUCAAAGUUCACAUUCCAAUAUCCAAACCAACAACCUUAAAUCCAUAAGAUUAAUCAUCCCACAAAAUCUGGAGAAAGGAUA